rnacentral:lncRNA from 1 species
UACUGUCGUUCCAAUUGAAGUGUUCCUCAAAUAUUGAUUCAAUACAAUACCUCGGGCUGCAUGACCAAUUCAUUUCAUCAAGUUCCUCGAAAUAUUCAUACACUUCCUAGUAUAUUUGUAAACUUCCUGUUGAAUAGUUUGAAUGCACCAAUCACCUUUGUUGUUUGUGCAACUAACCAAUCAUAAAUAGAAAGGAAGUGACCAGAAAUGAUCAAAUUCUUGGAAUUGGCUCUUUCACAGGAAGUGUAUGAAUAUCUCGAGGAACUUGAUGAAAUGAAUUGGUCAGCUUGAGGUAAUGUAUUGAAUCAAUAUUUGAGGAGCACUUCAAUUGGAACGACAG